UCACUUUGGUUUCUCUUCGAUUCCACGCAUACAUUUUUCGCCUUUUACUAAAGAUUUCCGUAGAGAGGAACACUCUAAUGAGUCUGUCGCGUUAUCACGUUGGAAGAAUAUAAUGU